rnacentral:rRNA from 1 species
ACCGUUCGGGUGCCGGCGAGGUGGCGGAACGGGUGAGUAAUAUAGUACGGAACGUACCUUCGAGGUGGGGGAUAACGUAGCGAAAGUUACGCUAAUACCGCAUAUUCUGUGAGCAGGAAAGCAGGGGAUCGCAAGACCUUGCGCUGAUUGAGCGGCCGAUAUCAGAUUAGCUAGUUGGUGAGGUAAAGGCUCACCAAGGCGACGAUCUGUAGCGGGUCUGAGAGGAUGAUCCGCCACACUGGAACUGAGACACGGUCCAGACUCCUACGGGAGGCAGCAGUGGGGAAUUUUGGACAAUGGGCGCAAGCCUGAUCCAGCCAUGCCGCGUGAGUGAAGAAGGCCUUCGGGUUGUAAAGCUCUUUCGGCCGGGAAGAAAUCGCACAGGUUAAUACCCUGUGUGGAUGACGGUACCGGAAUAAGAAGCACCGGCUAACUACGUG